CCUACGGGGGGCUGCAGUGGGGAAUAUUGGACAAUGGGCGAAAGCCUGAUCCAGCCAUGCCGCGUGUGUGAAGAAGGCCUUCGGGUUGUAAAGCACUUUCAGUGGGGAAGAAAGCCUUGGGGCUAAUACCCUCGAGGAAGGACAUCACCCACAGAAGAAGCACCGGCUAACUCCGUGCCAGCAGCCGCGGUAAUACGGAGGGUGCGAGCGUUAAUCGGAAUUACUGGGCGUAAAGCGCGCGUAGGCGGUUUGAUAAGCCGGUUGUGAAAGCCCCGGGCUCAACCUGGGAACGGCAUCCGGAACUGUCAGGCUAGAGUGCAGGAGAGGAAGGUAGAAUUCCCGGUGUAGCGGUGAAAUGCGUAGAGAUCGGGAGGAAUACCAGUGGCGAAGGCGGCCUUCUGGACUGACACUGACGCUGAGGUGCGAAAGCGUGGGUAGCAAACAGGAUUAGAUACCCUGGUAGUC
rnacentral:rRNA from 1 species